CAACAGGUUGAUUGGUGCUCAAAGCAUUUUCUCACAGCUACGAUAGCUCCUGCUUGUUCUAGUCCUACUCCUACCCUGCCUUGCUCCAGCCUUGUUGUUAGGGCCCUCGCCUCAGUGGUGGCAGAUCCUUAUUAAAAUCCCUUCUGAACAAGCAGAUGGUGGAAUUGAACUAGGAGGCUCCCACAUCCAGAUCAGUGAAAAAAGGUGACAAGGAUUUGUGAGUUAGACCCUCAGCUGCUCCAACACAGUUGUGCUUCUGUGUUGAGUACUGGAAGCUGAAUCAGCUGCCAUGCAAGUGUCCCUUGCCAAGAAAUGAAGAUUUUCGAGCUGCUUUAAGAUUAGUGCUAUGGAGCAGAAGGAUCACUUCCAAUGGCUCAGGCAACUAUUUCUGAUUCAGAGAUGGCUGAAGAAGAAGAAGAAGGCUGGUGGUCUGGCACUGAGGAGUAAAGCCCAGUCCAUCAGCUAAAGGUAUUCAGAAAUCACAAUGACUUCUCAGAGAAAAGAUCUGAAAAUGGUAAGUUUCAACUAAGAACUCCAAUCAGUAAAGGAGCUUGAAGAUGAAAAGGGAAAACAGGGAAGUGACUGGAGCCAAAUUUGCUUGCAGGCCCCCUGGAAAGGGCCAGUCUGCUUUGCUAGUCAUCAGAAGAAAUUCCUCAGGACAUCCAGAUUCCAGGCAAUGAGCAGUAAGGGCAGGCAUUUGUCUUUUGGAAAACCUGUGUAACCAUUCUGGGGAUUUCAAAUGAAUAAAUAGUGUUGGUUA